GCAGUCAUCUUAAAUGCACAUUAAUACUUUUCAAUCCCUUAGAAAUACUAAACAGAAAUGACAAAGAUCUUUUUUUCUUUUACAUCAUCACAAAGUAAAAAGAAGGCAACCGUAUUCAUACUGAGCAAAUUAGUAGCACCUAAAUGAGAUAGGAAUGAUGUCACAUCCAUAAAGCCUGUGUUGGCGCCAGAUGUAACCCAGUUAGAAUGGCUGCCUGCUCUCCAUUGCCCAGAACGGUAUCGGUCUGUAAAGGAUGGGUUCAUUUUUAAACAUCACUGAAAAAUAAUUUUCAACUGACUGUUAUUUGAAGAGAUUAAUUUAGUUUUGAAAAAUUAUCAUGAAAUCAGUGU
rnacentral:lncRNA from 1 species